CCCCUCCCCCAAGCUCCACCCCGACAUCCACCCAUCCUCGCACUCCGCCCCCUCUCCUCGAGAUCCCUCCCGAGAUCGAGCCGCCGUCCUCGCACUCCACAAUCCAACAACCGUCCUUGUGUCCCCCUGACAUCCAGCCUCGUCCUCGCAAAUCUCCGUCCCUGCUACCGCCGAGGCUCCAUCGUCGUGCUCCCGCUGCUUUCAGAUUUGCUGCUAUCGGGGCUCCGUCGCCGGCCUCCCGCUGCUGCUGGACAUGCCGAUACCAUGGACCCAUCUCCAGGCUCAUUACGCUGCUGCCGGACCUGCUGCCGAGACUCCAUCUCCUUCGAGUUGCGUCCCUACCGAAGCCAGCCGUCCCCGUGCCUUGAGAUACUUGACAAAUUUGAUAUUAAGGGUGCAUCAUGGACAAAACGUGGUUGUCUAAGCCUAGAUGAGUCGACAAUGAAGCUCGGGGCGUGAUAUGGCGCUCGGUGUAGGUGGCCAUGGUGGACCUGAAGCUAGCUGAGAUAAGCGACGGGAUCAAUGUUGUGCUCCUCCCGUUCUCAUUAACCAAAUAGUGCAGAGUGUGGC